rnacentral:rRNA from 1 species
GAUGAACGCUGGCGGCGUGCCUAAUACAUGCAAGUCGAGCGAACAGACGAGGAGCUUGCUCCUCUUACGUUAGCGGCGGACGGGUGAGUAACACGUGGAUAACCUACCUAUAAGACUGGGAUAACUUCGGGAAACCGGAGCUAAUACCGGAUAAUAUAUUUAACCGCAUGGUUCAAUAGUGAAAGACGGUUUUGCUGUCACUUAUAGAUGGAUCCGCGCCGCAUUAGCUAGUUGGUAAGGUAACGGCUUACCAAGGCAACGAUGGGUAGCCGACCUGAGAGGGUGAUCGGCCAAACUGGAACUGAGACACGGUCCAGACUCCUACGGGAGGCAGCAGUAGGGAAUCUUCCGCAAUGGGCGAAAGCUUGACGGAGCAACGCCGCGUGAGUGAUGAAGGUCUUCGGAUCGUAAAACUCUGUUAUUAGGGAAGAACAAAUGUGUAAGUAACUAUGCACGUCUUGACGGUACCUAAUCAGAAAGCCACGGCUAACUACGUG